rnacentral:lncRNA from 1 species
AUGGCACAAGGUGAGCAUCCCUUAUCUGAAAAUCUGGUAUUGAAAAGUCCCAAAUCUGAACUUUUUUUUUUUUUUUUAGAGACGGGGUUUCACUAUGUUAGCCAGGCUGGUCUUGAACUCCUGACCUCAAAUGAUCUGCCUGCCUCAGCCUCCCAAAGUGCUAGGAUUAUAGGCUUGAGCCACCACACCCAGGCUACAUAUGCCUUUCACAUAUUUUAACAAUAAUAUUAAAUCAUUUUAGUUCUUACAUGCUAAGCACUGUUCUAGGCACUAUAUGUGUAUUAAUUCCUUUAAUCCUUAUAAUAAACCUG